AAAAAGUAUUCAAUUCAAGACUCGUUAGUUCAUCUGCAUGUUUCCUCUCUCAUUUGAGACUUGAAAAAAAUCUGGAGAUAGAUUUGGUUUCAGUGCCUACACUGUAGUACUAUUCGUUGUGUUAUCGUUGUUUUUCUCUUCGGUGGUUCUAAAGCCGUCUCAAAAAGCUUUCUUACGGCGGCGGUCCUUUUGACGUAAUAUGCGGCAAUGCGGCAAUUUACAAAAGCCUAUCACCGCCGCCACACCCCAAUUUCGAUAUAGCGGUUUGCUAAAUGCCUGUGAUUCUAGACAAAAUCAAACAUAUCAGAUCUGUUUCCACUUUCCAGCACUGGAAUCAACCGCCGUGUUUGGUUUAUUGCGAAGAAGUUGUAAUAGCCACAAAAAAUUGGCAGCAACUGUUAUUUGGAUGCCAUUAAAGACCAAUAUCGUUGUAGUGACCGUGCAGAGUUAAUUUCUACAUAUUCAUUUUGGUCA